UACGUAGGGUGCAAGCGUUGUCCGGAAUUAUUGGGCGUAAAGGGCUCGUAGGCGGUCCAUCGCGUCGGGAGUGAAAGACUGGGGCUUAAACCCCAGUCCCUGCUUUCGAUACGGGUGGACUAGAGGUAGGCAGGGGAGAACGGAAUUCCUGGUGUAGCGGUGAAAUGCGCAGAUAUCAGGAGGAACACCGGUGGCGAAGGCGGUUCUCUGGGCCUUACCUGACGCUGAGGAGCGAAAGCAUGGGGAGCGAACAGG
rnacentral:rRNA from 1 species